GGGCGGUUAGCUCAGUUGGUUAGAGUACUUGCUCGACAUGCAAGGAGUCGGAGGUUCGAAUCCUCUAUCGCCCA
rnacentral:tRNA from 1 species